rnacentral:rRNA from 1 species
AGACCCGAAACCCGGUGAUCUAGCCAUGGGCAGGUUGAAGGUUGGGUAACACUAACUGGAGGACCGAACCGACUAAUGUUGAAAAAUUAGCGGAUGACCUGUGGCUGGGGGUGAAAGGCCAAUCAAACCGGGAGAUAGCUGGUUCUCCCCGAAAGCUAUUUAGGUAGCGCCUCGUGAAUUCAUCUCCGGGGGUAGAGCACUGUUUCGGCUAGGGGGCCAUCCCGGCUUACCAACCCGAUGCAAACUGCGAAUACCGGAGAAUGUUAUCACGGGAGACACACGGCGGGUGCUAACGUCCGUCGUGAAGAGGGAAACAACCCAGACCGCCAGCUAAGGUCCCAAAGUCAUGGUUAAGUGGGAAACGAUGUGGGAAGGCCCAGACAGCCAGGAUGUUGGCUUAGAAGCAGCCAUCAUUUAAAGAAAGCGUAAUAGCUCACUGGUCGAGUCGGCCUGCGCGGAAGAUGUAACGGGGCUAAACCAUGCACCGAAGCUGCGGCAGCGAACGUAUCACCCAAGACAACUUUACGGAGUUGGCGAUUGACGGAGCGAAGCGACGUCAAAGCGUUCAUUAAAGUCGAGUUGGCUUAGGGAUACGUUCGUUGGGUAGGGGAGCGUUCUGUAAGCCUGUGAAGG